AAAACCCUUUUAAGGCUAUCAGCUUUCAUACUACAAACAAUGGCAAAACUGUUAACAUGAAGGCCUCGUAAGUGAAAGUUGCCGAACCAGAGUAUGUGCAGUCCUUUUCUCUGAAUUUCUCAGUCAGGCCCUGAAAUCGAAGAAACCAGAGUAUGGAUGCAAAGUUUGAUGGUAAUGUCAGUGGCAGAAAACAGACAUGCAUUAGUAAAGAACUCACCUUGACAGUAAGACAGCACCUGCAUUUCAAAAGAGAAGUGAAAAUAAAAGAUUUAGCUUUUGAUGCAAUAAAAAAGAAAUGCAAA